GCAUUAUUUAUAACGGAAAUGUCGUUUUGAAUUUAAUUAGCAGUUCGUUGUGAUCAUGUCGGAAGAAACAGGAUAAAUAAAAACGAACAAUAUCAUGUAAAAGCUAAGCAUAGAAAAAGGCCUGGUUUGUUUUCUUUUUUAGACAUCUGACACAAGGUCAACUUAAAAUACAAUUUAUUUUUGACGUCCUUCUUUAAUUACUAAAAUGGGAUAG
rnacentral:lncRNA from 1 species